CAGGAUCUCACCUGGAUUUCAACUCUGGAUUUUAAAUUCCCCAAUGGCAAGGGACAAGAAGAGGAGGCUCAGAGAGGUUAAAUAACUUCCCAAGGCCACUGGGUAAGAAACCGUGGGAUCUGAAUGCAGCUGAGGCUGUUGGAUGCCAGAGCCUAGACACAGAGCACAGCCUCAUUCUUCAGCCUCCCAGGUCCUCUAACGCAGUGUGUCCAGAGCUGAGCCCGCCUAGAACUGCCUUCCUUUUCUCAGACACCUGGGAGACGUCCUAGACUCCAUCCUCUCUGUUGCCGCAAAACAUAACCAGUUGCUUCUUGAGUCUUUCUGUGAUGUGCACCUGCCUCCAUCCCAUGGCCACUGCCUCAGUGUCAAGGCCCUCAUGAACUCUCAUCUUUGUAUUUGCAAGAACCUCCCCACAAGCCCCCUCCAAGCUACCUUCCACAGAGCAACUAAAGAAAUCUAACUAGAAUAUUAAUGGUCACAGCUUAAUACCACCAUCUCCUCCCAGCGUGCUCAGGGGUUCCCCAUGGCCUGCGGGGUUGGUCUCCCAGCUCAGGAGGCCCUUCAUAAUCAGGCCUUCCUCACCUCUCUGGCUUCCUCCUGGCAACUUGGCUCCAGCUAUGCCAAAUUACCUGUGGUCCCCCAAGCACAGUAUACCCUUUCACAAUUCUGUGUCUUUACUGUGCUGUUCCUCCUGCCAGCAAUACCCUUCCUUGUCUUCUCUAUCCAACAAACUCUUAUUCAUCCCUCAAAACCCUGAUAUGGCAUCUUCUCCCUUAUUCUGAAGCUUUUUCUGACCUCCCAAAGACAAAGGGUUUAAUACCUCCAGCAACACAGCCCUGCACUGUAAUGAAAGGGCUGGCUCCCCUAGAAAG
rnacentral:lncRNA from 1 species